GAUGAACGCUGGCGGCGUGCCUAAUACAUGCAAGUCGAGCGAACGGACGAGAAUCUUGCUUCUCUUAUGUUAGCGGCGGACGGGUGAUUAACACGUGUAUAACCUACCUAUAAGACUGGGAUAACUUCGGGAAACCUGAGCUAAUACCGGAUAAUAUUUUGAACCGCAUGGUUCAAAAGUGAAAGACGUUCUUGCUGUCACUUAUAGAUGGAUCCGCGCUGCACUAGCUAGUUGGUAAGGUAACGGCUUACCAAGGCAACGAUGCAUAGCCGACCUGAGAGGGUGAUCAGCCACACUGGAACUGAGACACGGUCCAGACUCCUACGGGAGGCAGCAGUAGGGAAUCUUCCGCAAUGGGCGAAAGCCUGACGGAGCAACGCCGCGUGAGUGAUGAAGGUCUUCGGAUCGUAAAACUCUGUUAUUAGGGAAGAACAUAUGUGUAAGUAAAUGUGCACAUCUUGACGGUACCUAAUCAGAAAGCCACGGCUAACUACGUG
rnacentral:rRNA from 1 species